GACGAACGCUGGCGGCGUGCCUAAUACAUGCAAGUCGAGCGGAACUGGGGGAGCUUGCUCCUUCCAGUUUAGCGGCGGACGGGUGAGUAACACGUGGGCAACCUGCCCUGCAGAUCGGGAUAACUCCGGGAAACCGGUGCUAAUACCGAAUAGUUUGGCGCCUCUCCUGAGGCGCUACGGAAAGACGGUUUCGGCUGUCACUGCAGGAUGGGCCCGCGGCGCAUUAGCUAGUUGGUGGGGUAACGGCCCACCAAGGCGACGAUGCGUAGCCGACCUGAGAGGGUGACCGGCCACACUGGGACUGAGACACGGCCCAGACUCCUAUGGGAGGCAGCAGUAGGGAAUCUUCCGCAAUGGGCGCAAGUCUGACGGAGCAACGCCGCGUGAGUGACGAAGGUUUUCGGAUCGUAAAACUCUGUUGUGAGGGAAGAACACGUACCAACUAACUAUUGGUACCUUGACGGUACCUCACCAGAAAGCCACGGCUAACUACGUGCCAGCCGCCGCCGUAA
rnacentral:rRNA from 1 species